UACGUAGGGUGCAAGCGUUGUCCGGAAUUAUUGGGCGUAAAGAGCUCGUAGGCGGUUUGUCGCGUCUGCUGUGAAAACUCGGGGCUUAACCCCGGCCUGCAGUCGAUACGGGCAGGCUAGAGUUCGGUAGGGGAGACUGGAAUUCCUGGUGUAGCGGUGAAAUGCGCAGAUAUCAGGAGGAACACCGGUGGCGAAGGCGGGUCUCUGGGCCGAUACUGACGCUGAGGAGCGAAAGCGUGGGAGCGAACAGG
rnacentral:rRNA from 1 species